GAUAUGCACCCAGAAGAAAACAAUACUGUCUGUUGAAGAUAUUGUUGCUCUAAUUGGUGAUAAGUGUGAUGGUGUAAUAGGCCAGCUGACAUAAGAUCGGGGGGAGACAUUGUUCACAGCACCAAGCAGGGCAGGUGGAGAGGCUUUUAAUAACAUGGCUGUUGGUUAUAAUAACGUCGAUGUUAGUGCUGCUAAAAAGUAUGGUGUCGCUGUUGGAAACACUCCUGGAGUUCUUACAGAGACAACUGCAGAGUUGGCAGCAUCACUUUCUUUAGCUGCUGCUAGAAGAAUUGUUGAAGCAGACCAGUUCAUGAGG